CCUACGGGUGGCAGCAGUGGGGAAUAUUGGGCAAUGGGCGCAAGCCUGACCCAGCAACGCCGCGUGAAGGAAGAAGGCUUUCGGGUUGUAAACUUCUUUUAAGAGGGAAGAGCAGAAGACGGUACCUCUUGAAUAAGCCACGGCUAACUAGUUGCCAGCGGCCGCGGUAAUACGUAGGUGGCAGGCGUUAUCCGGAUUUACUGGGUGUAAAGGGAGUGUAGCCGGGCUGACAAGUCGGAUGUGAAAUUCCGGGGCUCAACCCAGGACCUGCAGUUGAAACUGUUGGUCUUGAGUAUCGGAGAGGCAGGCGGAAUUCGUAGUGUAGCGGUGAAAUGCGUAGAUAUUAGGAGGAACACCAGUGGCGAAGGCGGCCUGCUGGACGACAACUGACGGUGAGGCGCGAAAGCGUGGGGAGCAAACAGGAUUAGAUACCCUGGUAGUC
rnacentral:rRNA from 1 species